ensembl:lncRNA
CAUGGCACAUGGAGGUUCCCAGAAUAAGGGUUGAAUCGGAGCUGCAGCCGCUGGCCUACACUGUAGCCAUAGCAACACAGGAUCUGAGCCUCGUCUGCGACUACACCACAGCUCAUGGCAAUUCUGGAUCCUUAACCCACUGAGUGAGGCCAGGGAUCAAACCCGCAACAUCGUGGUUACUAGUCAGAUUUGUUUCUGUUGCGCCACAACGGGAACUCUGAGAGGUUUUAAAAAUAGCAAAGAUCCUGAUUUAAUUCGUGUCAGUGGAGCUCACUUUUUUUAAAAAUAAAUAAUUGUAUUAUGAAGGCAGAAUUGGGAGUAACUGCUCCAGAGUAAUUCAAAGUGUCUCCAUAGUGAUUUUUUGGAUAAAUCUCAAUUUAUUCUCUUUGAAAGACUAUCCUUUAUUCUGAAAGUAUCCUUCUUGCUCCUUUUGAACUGUCUGCCCUUUUAUGAAACUGACAGGAGUUCCCUGGUGGUUUUGUGGUUAAGGAUCUAGCAUGGUCACUGCUGUGGUGUGGGUUUGAUCCCGGGCCUAGGAACUUCUGCAUGCUGCUGCUGGCGUGGCUGAAAAAACAAAAAAUGAAAGUGACUGUAGAUGUCAGGUUUGCUUGUUUUGUUUGCCUAUCUUCUUAUUUGACAAAAUAAAAAGCCCCCAAAUUUAAACUGUGUAUUACUGGUCUAUGAAAUCUAAAAGUCUGGGACCUACAUUUCCUGAUGCAUGGGCACUGAUAAAUACUUUUUUUUUUUUUUUCUGUCUUUUUAGGCCUGGGAACCUUCAUAUGCUGCGAGUGCAGCCCUAAAAAGCAAAACAAACAAACCAAAAAAAUGGAAACAUGUUCAGCAAAAUAAAACUAAUCUCAAAACUUUUAUUUCAUAGAAUUUAAUGUUGACUUAAUGAAAAGUGACCUUUCUGUGCCACCUGUAUUCAUUAGUUUUGUGUAAGGUGAUGUUACCUGCAGAUUUGAGAGAUCCUGUUGUGGCUCAGCGGGUUAGGAACCCAGCCUAGGAUCCAUGAGGAUGUGGGUUUGAUCCCUGGCCUCACUCAGUGGGUUAAGGACCUGACGUUGCCACAGACUGUGGUGUAGUCACAGAUGUGGCUCUGAUCUGGUGUUGCUGUGGAUGUGGUGUAGACCAGCAGCUGCAGCUCCAGUUUGACCCCUAGCCCAAGGUACUUACUUACGUAUGUUUAGGUGCAGCCUUGAAAAGGAAAAAAAAAAAAAAAAAAAAAAAAAAAAAAAAAAAAAACUUGCAAAAAAAAGAAAACUUGCAGUUUUCUAGGAGAAUUAGACUUUGUUAAUAUCAUCUCGGGAGGCUCCUCCAUGUUGUUAACAUAGCUCGUGGAAGAGGACCAAGCAUAUGAUAUUUCCUUCAGAGGUGGGAGCAGAGGUUUGAGGUGGCAAAAACCAUGUGGUUGUUGGGAAGGGAAUAGCGAUGCUAAGCAAGAGCAGGUUACGGUGCUAGAUCCCUUGUUGAAGGAGGCGUUUUAAUUCCAUUUCAUAGUUGAAGAAACAAACUCACUGUGAUUCAGUAACUUUGAGUUUAGAAGCUGCAAAAGACACCAGAGUUGGCAAUCAAAUACACACCUCUCAACUACCUGAUCUCCCAUCGUGCUACCCCAGUCCAUGCCACCCAGCAUCCCCAGGACACCAGUUGGAGAUGAGACACUUUGGAACGUGGUUUAGUAAAAACAUAGGUGAGUGUCUCCCUCUCUGGAAUUUGAGAUUCACGAGGACAGGAACAAUGUCUGGCUUAUUCAUCUUUGCAUUCUCAUGCCUAGCUAAGGCCAAGGCCACAAGAAGUAUUCAUGAGCAAAGAAGGCUCUUUCAGCCUCGUUAUCCACUGGCAACCAUGGUCCUUUUCCUUCAGGGCUUCACAGAACUAGCUCCCCAUAUUAGAAGAGAACCCACUCAAGAAAAAUCUUAGUGGAAUUAGUGAAGAAGAAAGAAGCUAAGAUUUGUGGGACCCCUGUUAUAUUCUAGGUACUUGUACCAGGUGGUGAUUUAUAUGCUUGCCACAAAGUAUAAAAAGCUUUUAUUCUGAUAAGUGUAUAAAUUCAUCCUUUUCCUGAAAUAAUAAAUCUAGCAAAGAGAUACAGGAUUGUUUAGAGACAGAAGGAAGAAGUGACUGUAAUUUUGACCCGUGAGGGCUGGGAGAUCCCUUGAAAUAGGACCUGCAUCUUAACUUCUCAUUCGUAGUACUGGAGAUUAAGUGUUGGCCCAUAUUCAUGGAUGAAUGAAAGAACAGCUGAAUAGCAGUAGCCUGCUAGACGAACAGGUGGAAGGUAUUUGGGUUGUGAAAAAGGAAGGAAUAGUGUGGACAGAAACAUGGUUCCGGGAGAUGGUGCAUCUGCAGGUGGCCCCUGGUUGGAGCUUUGUCAUGUGGAUGGCAUGGUAGUCGGAAAUGGGAAAUCAGUAGUCCAGGACAAAUCCACUCUGUUCUCUGGAAAUAGCUUUUAAUGUGAUUCAUCCAUGUGACAUUUGAGUAACCACCUCGUUUGUCUUAGAAUGUUCUUGAGAGGAAUUUUACCUCUGUAUAAAAAUCAACCUUCCACGUGUAGAAAAUAGUACAUAGGCAUAGAUGUUCCAGAAAUUGGGUCACAGACUGUGUGUGGAGAACACCAGCGUGCAUGGUAUGUACCACGCUGUGCUCUGGUACUUCCACUCCACUCAAGGGAGACUGCAUAAAUGGAGAGAAGACUGAAUGGAUGGAUGAAUUCAGAUUAGGAAGAUAGGAUUCUUUCUCUGCCAACAACUGGGAAUCAUGAAUGAUGUUUUAACAUGGUACUUGGUAUGGUUAACAAAACCUCGUGUAUUUCUACUUUUCUAGAAGCAGCAUACUAUUUAGAUUACUUUUAACAAACAGAGCAUGUAUACAUUGAAUGUUGAGAAACUGUUUUUGACAGUGAAAUUGCUGUUUUACUUAUUAACCCACUGCAAGUUUACUGUGUGCUAACCACUAUCCAUUAUACCUAGUUCCCAGUGAAAAAUCACCCCUCUUCUUGAACUCCCUUUCCUAUUUUUUAGAUUUAAUUUUUAAAUGUUAACCACCACAAAAUAGGCAGUUUUAAAAAUUGAAUUUCAAAAAUGGCAGUGAGAGGCUCCUUCCUAUCUGUCCUUUGCUCCAGCCAUCUUCCCUGAAAGCAGUUGCUUCUGUGUGUCCUUAUUAUAUUCUGUAACUCAAGCAAAUAUGGGCACAUGGUAAUUUUUCAAAAAAUGGAAGCAUAUUAGAAACUGUUCUGUAUUCUUUAUCUUAGGUCUUGGAAUCUGUUCCGCAUCAAUUGUUGUCUAGUAUUACACUUUACAUGGCUUAUCAUUUAUUUAACCAAUCUCCUACUGAUGACUUGUAUCUAAGCUGCAGUUUUCAACAGUGGUAACAAUUUGCCAACUUAUAUGUGUUUCAGUUUAUUUGUAGGAUAAAUUCCUAAAGAUGGGCUUAAAGGUUAAAUGCAUUAUGAUUUUUUUUCUGUCUUUUUGGGGCCACACUUGCAGCAUGUGGAGGUUCCCAGGUGAGGGCUCUAGUUGGAGCUGUUGCUGCCAGCCUACACCAGAGCCACAGCAACACCAGACCUGAGCCACGUCUUUGAUCUACGUCACAGCUCUCGGCAAUGCCGCCAGAUCCUUAACCCACUGAGUGAGGCCAGCGAUCAAGCUCACAACCUCAUGGUUCCUAGUUGGAUUUGUUUCCGCUGCGCCACGACAGGAACUCUAAGUGCAUUGUGAUUUUAAUGGAAAUUCCCAAACUGUUCUUUCUAGAAGUUGUGCUAAUUUAUUUUCCCACCAGAAAUGUCAUUGAGUACCUAUUUUUGACCAACAGUUUUAUUAGUAAAAUCUCAUCUUUAGCAAGCUGAAUCAAUUUGUGUUCUUGAUUUCAUCCCUUUCUUUUUCUGGUAACUUGAUCUCUGGUCUUCUCUGUCUUCCUCAGUCUAUAAAUUCCAACCCUCCUGUCCACCACUCUCCCUGGUCUCUUCCUUUGCCCUGUCACCCUCUUGCUGUGGCCUCAUUUUUAAAAUAUUCAUGAUAAACUUCUCUAACUCAUUUUCCUUUUACCGAACUCAUUAAACCUGAAGUUGCUAUGCUAUCUUGUUUUGUUACAGGACUGCUUCUUUUUUGAAACUCUGCCGUUUUGGCUUUGUUACUGUUUAUUCAUUUUCAUUCCUUCACACUGAAACACCACUCAACAGUUAGUAGUUGGGCACUUACCUCCCUGCAGGCAGUGUUCUGGUAGUUUGGUAUUUUACCUGGACCAUUGCAACAGCAACCUAGUGAGUCUCCCUAUGUCAAGCUUCUCCCUUCCCAAGCUCUUGUAACCAUGGCUCCCCUGGUUUUAAAAUUGGUUUGUGUCAUGUCUGUGUAGUCAAUCUGCAGACACUUAACACAGCCUGUUGUAAAGCCUUCUGUACAUGUGACCAAAUAUUUGAGCACCAACUAAGACCCUGAGGCAGUGCUAAGGCCAGUGAGACUGACCUAGUAGUGUAAUGAAAAGGAAGCCGGUGCUUACACACACAUAACAUGCAGUGAAUUUUGGAAGCAGAGGCGUGCUCAGCUCAAAGAAAACAGAGCAGCAUGUGUACAGGAAAGCUAUUACUUGUAAAUAAAGCAAGAAAAGUGAAAUUGUCAAUACUUCUAUAAAGUUUCCCUUAACUCUUCUAAUUGCAACAACUACUGACCUCAUAGAACGUAGUAUACGAUUUUAUUAUAUAAUACAUUUACUUUAUAAUUAUCAUUUGUAUCCCACUCUAAUCUAUGUGCUUUUUAAAGGGCAAGGUAAAUUUUUUCAUUAAAAAGAAAAAGAAAAGACAAAAUUCACAACCAAAGAUGAAGUAGCAUUAGGUUAACUAAUAUUGACAUUACUUUGGACUAUAAAUUUUAAAAUAUAUAUAUUACCAUAAAUAACAUACUAGCUGCAACUGAUGUUACCAGAACUGAAAGCAGGAUUUCACAUGAAUUUUUCUCACUUUCUUACUAGCUUUUGCUGAUAGUGUUUUUUUUUCCCCCUGGAUCCUUACUCUUCUAGCCAAGCCAAAAUUUUGCAUGUAUUAACAAUGCAUAACAAUAAAAAACAAAAACAAUACAGAAUACAGCUUUUAUAUUAUUGAACUUUAUGUACAAAAUCAUUUGAUUUCAAAUAAACAUUUAAUGUAAAAACAAACGUUCUUUUAAACUGAAUUUUUUUUUACAUCUACUGUACCAUUCAAAUGCUUUAUCAUCUUACAUGAUUUCUUCAAAAUCUCUUAUCAAGGGUACAUAUAGAAAAGCAUUUUUUUUUUAUAAAUAGAAACAAAGGGAAUUUUUUCAGCUUUUAUUAUAAGAUGACAUAAAAAGUUUACUCAACAGAAGUAAUUUCAUUACUAUUUGGGGGAGGGAAUCACCAACUUUUUGUGCAAACAAUGCUAGCCUUCUUUUAAGCAUUAAGAGCAUAACUGCUUAAGAAAUGACAUAAGCAAUAAUUCUACACCUACAUCUCCCCUAAAAUAAUCUAUUUUUUUCUUUUUUUACAUAUGUGCACAGCUUUAGCAAAUUAAAGCCCGAGAGAAAUGCUCGAAAUCCACUAUCCAGAGGCAUAAUCAGAGUUUACUGGAACUCAUCAUUUGGAGAGCUUACCAAUUAAGGAGUCUGUAAUGAAAGCUGCAGUUUCCCUCUUUCCUAUUUUUUUUUAACACAAAAAUCAAUGACUAAGAACUUAAUACUGGAUGACAAAUCACAUCCACACUAUUAGUUAAAUAGCCUCACAGUUAAACACAUCUUAAAGACCAACCAAAUCAGUAUUUACAUUUUAUAAAUUUCUGGACACCAUUAGAAAGCUUAUAUAUCCCUUCCUUAAACAAAAUAGGGAACUGCAUCUGAUGGUGGUGGAAUGAAAUAAAAAAAUUAAAAAUACCUGUAUUUACAGCAGCAUUGAUCCUUUAUAAAUAAAGAAUAUGAAAAUGCAGUUAUCUUUAAGGGUAAUAAAAAAUUGAGGUGAUGUUACUCAACCACAGUGCUUGGAGUUGGAAUAAAAAUCUAUUGUUGCUUGUUAAUGUGCCAGUAGUGAAACCACUUUCUGUUGGAGAGAAUCCAACUGCAGAUAUGUGCAUAAAACACAUAGAACACAGGGCAAAAUUGCUCAAAACGAUUCAAGUCAGUUUAUCUGUAUUGGAUAUUCUAAUCAUGAAAUACAUUACAAAGACAUCCUGGCAAAGAAAAAAAAAGUUACAACACUUUCUGGGUUCAUUUUUAUAGAACAUUUCCUUCCUCAAAAGUGUCAUCUUAGAAAUCUCAAACUCGUUCUUCCCUUGGUUUACAAUCCUAAUGAAGAGAUGUGGACAGUUGAUUUUUCCAUGUGAUUACCUAGUGGGGAAAGAAAAGAAAAAAAAAAAA